UUUUCUAUAUCUACAGUUUGUGAUGACGGCCCGGAAGAUAUGCAGAGCCCUGCAAGAGGCUGGCUACUGGGCUGACUUCAUCGAUCCGUGUAGUGGAAGGCCAUCACUGGGACCUUACACCAACGCAACACUUCUGGAAACUGAUGAGCGUUAUAGGCACUUUGGAUUCACCAUUGAAGACCUUGGAUGUUGCAAAGUGAUCACUCAUCAUUUGUGGGGUAGUAAUGCCUUUGUUGGCUGCUUGUUUACGAAUGCUCCUGCUGACAGCCUAGAAGUACAGAAGAUACUGUGUGAGCAUAACGAGUGACUGCUGGUGCGACGCUGCCAAAGGACAUAUAAAUAUUUGUACAUUUGCUGGCUGGUGCUGUGUUCAAGGUAUGCACUCUUGCAAGAACAGUGAAAAAAAAAUAAAGCUAUUAGGAA